rnacentral:rRNA from 1 species
AUCUACGGCCAUGCCACCCUGAACAAGCCUGAUCCCGUCUGAUCUCGGAAGCUAAGCAGUGACGGGCCUGGUUGUUAGUACUUGGAUGGGAGAUCACCUAGGAAGACCAAGUGCUGUAGGCG